AAUUAUUUCAAACUCCUGAUGAGUUGCCAUCUGCUAGGUUUUUUCCUAAAGGGGUUGUUCAUAGUAUCAGGCCUUACAGAAAAGUUGAGUUGGACGAUGAUGACGAUGAUGAUGAUGGGGAGAAUGGGGGGAGUCUUGGUGGGGAAUUCAGUAGGAUUAUCAAUGAAAGGAACUUUUUUACAAAAGGUGUUGAUGAUGGGUCCGACGAUGGAGAAUUUUCGUCACCUUUGAGUUAUGGGAGGAAUGAAGUGAGCGGUGAUGGCAGAAGGAGCAAGAGUGGGUACGGGAGGAAUGAAGUGAAUGUUGAUGGUGGGUCCGACGAUGGGGAAUUUUCGUCACCUUUGAAUUAUGGGAGGAAUGAAGUGAGCGGUGAUGGCAUAAGGAGCAAGAAUGGGUACGGGAGGAAUGAAGUGAAUGUUGAUGGCAGGAGAAGCAAGAAUGGUAAUGGAAGGCGGUUUUUGCCGAAGGGUGUUAAGGGGCCUAGCGGGUCUGAUGGUGGAGAGAGAUCUUCUCCUUUUAAUUAUGAGAGGAAUGGGAUGAGUGGCGAUGGAAGAUCGAGGAAGAAUGGGAAUGAGAGAAGGUUCAUGUCAGAAGGUGUUGAUGACUUUAAUGGAGAGUUUUCUUCUCCUUUGAACUAUGAGAGGAAUCGGGUGAACGUUAAUGGUAGAACGAGGAAGAAUGAGAACGGGAGGAGGUUUAUGGCAAAGGGUGUCAAUGACUUCGAUGGAGAGUUUUCUUCUCCUAUGAACUAUGGGAGAAACGGAAACGGUAGAAUGAGGAAUAAUGGGGAUGGAAGGAGGUUUUUGUCAAAUGAUAUUGAUCGUCCUGCUGGAGAGUUUUCUUCUCCUAUGAAUUAUGGAGGGAAUGGAGUGAAUGUUAAUGACAGAACGACGCCGAAUGAGAAUAGAAGAAGGUUUAUGUCAAAGGAUGAUAAUAGGCUUGAUGGGUCUGAUAACGAGAAAUCUUCUUCUCCUUUGAAACAUAGGAGGAAUGGGAUGAGUGGUGAUGGCAGAAUGAUGAGGGAUGAGAACGAGAGAAGGUUUAUGUCAAAGAACAUUGGUGGGUCUAAUGGGUUGAAUACAGGGAAAGUUGGUUCUGGCAGGAAACAGAGAGGGAGUAAUUCUGUCCGAGGAAAGAAUUAUAGUCGGGGAACUUCCGGCUACGCUUCACGAAGAUCUAGAGACGCAGAUUCUGAAGUUUAUGAUAUGGGUUUGCAACAGGAUGGGAGCUAUGGAUUCCAGUAAAAUAGUUAUCAAUCCGACUCUAAAAACUGUUAAAACCGUGGACUCUCGGUAACGGCAUUUUAGGUGAUCAAUGAGUUGUGCUAUUCGCAAAAGGGUUGCUUAUGGAAGAUGACUGAUGCUACUUCUACAUUUUGGUAGGUCUUUCUAGUUGGCUUAAUUUCAACAAUUAUGAUCCUUAUAUGUGACAAGUCAAAAUUGGACAAGAUAUCAUAUCAUUGUGUGAAGCUAUAUGUUGUAUAUAUUACAUUUUGAUUUUGAGAAAACAUUGAAUGCAAGUUGAUUCUGUAACAUGUCUUUGUUCUCCACAAUAGAUUAGUGUUCAUUUGCUCUAGAUUUUGGUCCAUUCUUGUUUUAUGAGUUGUUGUAGCAGGAGAACUUUAAUGUAUAUCAUGAUAUAGAUUCUACAAGGUGAAUUGAACUUCUUUGAAAUGUAGUCUCUGCAUAUAUUAUGUGAAACAUUUGUUUAAUGUUUUCCUUUGAUUGAUAGAUUCAAUAUGUGCUCAAUACUUUGUUUAUCCUCUUUUUGCUUUCUGAGGUUUUAAACAAGUUUACUACAUGUUUAUAUUAUUGAAAAGGAAAAUUACUGUAAAUAUCACAAAAGAAUUCAGGAAAAAUUAUUACAGAAAAAGCUAAAUACUUGUUGAUAUUGAAACAAAAUCCUUAUUAAAAUUUAAAAGGGAACUUUUGAAAAUUGAAACAAGGGCAACCAACAACUACAAAUUUAGACUUUUAACUAUGUUUCUGGUAGAGCUCUGUAAAUUUUAUUUGAGAAUAACAAAUUUCUAUAAUCUACCAAAACUUAGAUGAUAAAUACUGUUUUAACUUUCAUUAUAUGGUGCACAAGAAUGGGGACUGAAAAAAAAUAAGUACAGCAUGACACUUACUCAUCAUUAUAUUGAUUUAAGAGUUUAAGAUGAGCACCAACAACGCGUUGGUCUAGUGGUGUAAGACCCUAUUAGAUUCCCAGAUCAAUAUAAUGGUUCAAUUCUUGAGAGUGACACUUGUUGGGAAUAACAAUCACGUCCCCGAAAGAGAUUAGUUUGUUAUCAAAAGGCAAGGAGAUACCUUUGGUGAUGAUACUAAAGAUAUCAAUGAUUUGAUUCCUAAGAGUAACACUUGUUAGGAAUCGAAUCAUUGAUAUAUUUGGUUAUGUUAUGUCAAUCUUGUCAUUUUUACAUAAAAUUAUGUUAUCUAUGAUGAGGUUGUUUUUGCCGUAAAACAUAUAGUUGUUUCCUUGGUGUCUCUUUAUAGUCUGAACAAAAAAUGUUGUUCUAAACUUCACAUCAGAUAUUGUCUAAUCCAAUGUGAAUAAAGCAAAUAAAGAUGUUGGGGAAGGUAGAUAUAAAUAUGGCUGACAAUGAAAUUAACUAAUUCGGUAUUCGUUCGAAAUUCGACUCGUUAUUUAACUCGAUGAAUUUGAUUCAUGAAUCAAAUAAGCUGAACUUAAGCUGAAAACUAAGCUCGUUAAAUAAAUGAGCUGAACUUAAAUUGAAUAUAGUUCAACUUAUUAAGUUCAUGAACUGACUCAAUAUUUAUAUAUAUAUAUAUAGAAUAAUGUAUCUCCUCAUAUAUAACUUAUCUCCUCUAGCCAAUAAAAAUUUGACAUGUGUGCUAUUUUGUUUAUUUUUAUAGAAAAUGAUGAAACAUGACAAAUGUCAUGAUUUCACUGGCAGGAGGAGAUAAUUUAUCUCCGUAUACCAGGAGAUACUUCAUUCCCAUAUAUAUAUAUAAUAUUUUGCAGUUAAUUAUUUGAGUUGUCCAAAUGAACCAAUUCGAACUGAGCUGAACAAUUUGUGAAUUUUAACUAAGUCAAACUCAAGCUAAAACAAUAGUUCAUAUCAAACUCGAAUCAAAUUUCGAGUUGAGCAAACCCUUAUUGGGUUGAACCGAGCUGAACUCUGGUUCAACUCGUUUCUAGCCCUAGAUAUGAGCGAAAAAGUGUCCCUACGAAUUGUUGUUGUUAGAAAAGAGAGAAUUAACUCAUUGGAAAGCCUUAAAUCAUGAGUAUUAGCCCUCAUAUGGAUGUAAUGAUCCUGAAACAAUUGGCAACUUUGGGAGAAAACAAAUAACUCACAAACUUGACAUGACUCUAAAAUUAUGCCUUGAUACCCACUUUUAUUGGCAUCAAAUAAGGCUAAAUGUGAAAAGCACUUCUUUGCAAAAAGCUGUUUUGACUCCAAAAUCCUGCUAUAAAUAAAAGCCUCAUACACAAACAAUUAUGCAAAACAAAACAAUCAUGGGUCAGUACAUCUUCUUAUGCUUAACAAUACUAACUCUAGCUAGUGUAUAUGGGUCUAUGGCAGUGGAAUAUGUUGUGUCCAACACUGCUGAAUCAAGCAUUGGUGGCCAGAAGUUUGAUAAAAGUAUAGGUGCAGAUUAUGCCAAGCAAACUAUGAACUCUGCCACAGACUUCAUACUGAAGCUGUUUCAAGAAAACGUCGAUGCUGCGGACCGAAAAAACGUCGAAGAAGUGAAGUUGGUAAUUGAAAACAUUGAAGGGGUGGCAUUUGAUAGCAACAAUGAGAUUCAUGUUAGUGCAAGCUUCAUUGAAAGGUUCAAUGGAGAUAUCAAAAGUGAGAUAACUGGUAUGCUAUAUCAUGAAAUGACACAUGUAUGGCAGUGGAAUGCAAAUGGCCAAGCUCCUUCCGGACUCAUUGAAGGGAUAGCGGAUUUCGUGAGGUUGAAGGCUGGCUAUGUAUCGAACAACUGGGUUCCGCCCGGCCGUGGAGAUGAUUGGUUUCAAGGAUACGAUGUCACGGCUCGAUUUUUAGACUAUUGCAAUACUAUCGAAAACGGAUUUGUGGCCGAGUUAAACAAGAAGAUGAAGAGCAGUUAUAGUGAUACUUACUUUGUUGAGCUUCUAGGGAAACCGGUUUCUCAGCUGUGGAGUGAUUACAAGGCCAAAUAUGCUAUCAACUAGAAUUUUUACACUUUUCUGAAUAAGAAGAUUAUGUACUUGGUUAAUAAUAAAUGUUCCAGCUAUAACUGCUUCAGAAGCUGUGAUGGAACAAACUUGGUUGUUUUCAAUACAAAUAAUUAACAUGCAGAUUAAUAUUUGCAUAAUACUUCAAUUACCUAGACUUAGAGGACUAAGUUGGAGGUGGAAAUCGGAUAUAAUAAAUAAGAGUAUAAUUGGAAAAUAAUAUAAGGGUCGAAUCUCGAAAGAAUCUUUAAUAUGGAAUGAAAGAGUCUCUACUAAAAUUCCGAAUCAUAAUCAUAAGCUAUGUACAUUUGUGCAUUAUAACAAAGCAGAAUAAGAACAUGCAAGCUGCUUCAAUUUGUUUAUAUAGUUUCAAGUGAUUUUGUUUUGAAUAUUGCUUGUUAUUCCUUUCAGCACUGUUGUUCUUUAUCUUUUGUUUGUGGUUUAGGAGCAACUUGAAUCAGUAGUUAUGGAGAAUGACCUCGGAGCUUCUAUUAAGGAUCCAUUUACGAGUUGAGUUUUGGAGAUGAAUAAAGAGAAAUAGAAAAUUUCAUACUCAUCUCACAAAUGUAUUUUAUAACUUUGAAGCAUUCCCCUUUAAAACUGAACUCGUAUAAAAACCCUUAUAUAUGGUUCAUUGUUUAGUAAGGGUGUAUGCCAAAUAAAUUAUUAACAUUAUGAAACUGCAUUGUUUGGUUCAUUCUUUCUCUUAAUAUUCACUUAUAUAUGGUUCAGUGUCUAAGGCAUAUAUUACAAUCAUUUACACACACAAAUAUAUUCUCUUUAUUUUUUUUUAUUAAUAUGAAUUAAAGUCUAUGAAAUACAUCUUCAAUUUUGAAUAUAAUAAUUUCUCCACUAACAACUUUACUGAGUAAUAGAUUAUAACGCUGAAGUCGAUAUCUAUAGAGGACACAUAUAAACUAGAGAGAGUGAGGUAUUGAGAAGCGAGUGAAUGGUAAAUGAUUCCUCCAUUUAUACUGAAUGUAAUAAGCUUAUUUUGUAUCGAAGGAUGGUCUGACAGUAUCAUAGUUAAUGUCAUGACAAUCUUGUGUCUUAGCCUAUGGCGGCUAUAAGACACCCUUCAGGGGAAAAUUCCCUUUAAGUUAUCCUCUAGUCUAGGUCGUGCACCUUACCAAAUCUUGAUGAGUCGAUUCUUGUAUUAAGAUUAUCUAAAGCUUUCGGAUUUAGGUCUUUGUAUAUUGGUCAACCUAUUAACCUCUUAGACCCAUGAAUAAAAACAAAAAGUACUCUGAUUAGAUCGAUAAAUAAAAACAAAAAGUAAUAAAAGUGAUGGAUAAAGUUAGGGGUGGCAAAAUGGGCUUGGCCCGACGGGCCGGCCCGUUCGGAUGGGUGUUUUUAGCGGGUCGGGCUGGGGGUUUUAGCCCAAAAGCCCGUAUUCAACCAGUUUUGGAAGCCCGUUUUUUAGACGGGCCGAGCUGGCCCGGCAGGGCAACGUUAAAAUUAAAGUUCAUUUGUCUAUCAUGUUGCUCGUUGCAAUUAAGAUUAAACUUUUACAAUUUUAACUUAUGUUUGAAUCCUUAAGCAUAUAAUUAUUCUUUCUCUUUUGUAAAAUGGACAUUUAAUAUCUCAUUAUGUAAUUAUCUAUUAUCUUCACUCUUAUUCAAUUAUUGUGCUUGUUAUGAGAAUGUGGAAUUUCACUGACAAUUAGGGGUGUUUGAAUCAAGUUUAAACAUUUAAUUAAUUGAAAUAGAAAAUUGGAAACUCAAAUAUAACUACUGAUUUUGAUACCUUUUGGAAAAUUAAUUGAAUUCGACUGAGUUUCAAUUUAUAUUUUUAAUGUACUCGAAUUCAAAUUAAAUUGAGUAAUAUAUAUAUUUUAUUGUGAUUUAUUUAUAAUAUAAUAGUUUUGAUUCUUAUACAUUUUUAAAACUUUAGAGUUAUAAACUCUAUUAUGAACUAGGAGUCUAAAAGUUUAAGACUAUGGUGGUUUAUUGUUUAUAAUUUACAAGUUUUGUACUAAUGUAAUAUGUUAUUAUGCGAUUGUGUCUUUUGUUUGUGAUUUUUUGUUUUAAAAGACAUUUAUGAAUUGUUUGAAUUAUUUACUUUUGUCUAAAAGUUUUAAUAUGUGUUUUAAAAAAAAAACAAAAUGGGCCAGCCCGCCGGCCUGCCAGCCCUGCCAAAUAUGGGUCGGGCUGGCAUUUUGAGUCCUUUUAACAAUAAGGGUUGGGCCGGGUCGGGCCGGGCUGGGCUGACCCGUAUUGCCACCCCUAGAUAAAGUAGUGAGAAGAAUGAAAUUGAUAAAUGUUAUACAUUUUUAGCACUUGAAUUAAAGUAAUUUAAAAAUGAACACCAAAAUAGAAAUUUGAGUUAAUGAUUCGGUUCCAAAGCUUGCCCACCCAUUACAAAUGUUUGGUGAGGCCAAUCAAUGAGAAUAACAUAUAUAGUGUCUUACCCAUUAAUUGGAGGGGCAACGUGUCGGUCAUACUACCAUUUAUAGAAUUUAAAACAGAAAAAUCGUAUAUACCGAUAAUAUAUGAGUUCUAACAUAUUUACUAUAUCAUUUAUCAUUCAUAUUUAAUAAUUAUUAACUUUUCAAAAAAUAAUUUAAAUAAUUGAUAUAAUAAUUAUGUAUAAAUCUUUCCACUAAAAAUACAUAGAAGUUACUCGAUUUGGGUAUGAGGUAUAUUAAUCAAAUAAUCAAUAUACGAGGUCAUGGGGAAAGAUACAUAAACCUUGUUCAGCUUGUCAUUCACUUACCCAAUAACAACAACAAAAAUAAAUACACUUUGUUUUUAUCAUUCACAUUUUUUUUGUAUGAUAUAACUAGUUACAACGAUGCAACUAAUGGGUUUAAAACUUUUAUCAUAUUUUUUUGAAAACGUUAUAUAAAAUUUUACAAUAACCCAAAAUUAUUACGUACUUGGUUGAUAUUUAUAUAUUUGAAUACACAAUUUUUCAAUACAAGAAAUUCCAAUCAAUUUCAUGUUUUGACAUAAAAAACAAAAAUCCAAUUACUUUUGUUUUCCAUUGGUUUUUUUCCCAAUAUAUUUGUACUUCGUUCACAUGCACAAUUUAAACCUUAUUAACUAAAAAAUCCAAUUAAAUUCGUGUUUUAACAUAAAAACAAAAACAACAUAUUUUGAGAAAUAUUAUCAAAAGUGAGAGUUAUUUAUAUAUUUGAAUACACAAUAUUCAAUACAAGAAAUUCCAAUCAAUUUAAUGUUUUGGCAUAAAAAACAAAAAUCCAAUUACUUUUGUUUUCGAAUAUAUUUGUACUUCGUUCACAUGCACAAUUUAAACCAUAUUAACUAAAAAAUCCAAUUAAAUUAAUGUUUGACAUAAAAAAACAAAAACAACAUAUUAUGAGAAAUAUUAUCAAAAGUGUAUUUUAUUAGCUGUUCUUCACUACAUAUACCAAAUUUUCACCAUAAAACAACUCUCAUCUUACAAUAAAUAAAAGUUUUGUUGUCCUGAAAUAUUGUCCUUAAUACAAUUUAGAUAUUAAACCUCGAUUAUUAUUUAUUAUUGAUACUUUUGUUUCAUUAUCAUUAUAUUAGAGAACGUAUGAGAUAUGAUUUUUUUGUACUACCAAAGAUAUUUCCUAACUUUUGAUAAUGAAUUAAUCUCUUUCGAGGUUUGCCCCUUUCAACAAGUAUCGCUCACAAGAAUCAAACAUUCGACCUUUGAGAUCCAGCGGGAUCUUAUACUACUAAAUCAAUGUCUUAUUGGUAUACAAGAUAUAAUUUACGACAACAGAUCUAUAUUCUCGUAAAAUAGGGUUAUUAUUAAUUAAGAAAACAUUACGUGUCAGCUUGGCUAUUGGACAAUGUGAUUGGUGGUUGAGUUUGGUUAGUGUUGAGAAUUAAAUUCUUCAACUGUUCCAACUUGAACUUAGAUCUAUAAAUGAAGUUACCAAUUGAGAUUCAAAGCAGAAAAAACACCUGUGAUUGUUAUACAACACGUUUUCUCCAAUAAUAUAGAUUAACAACAAUGGCUUCAAGACCAGGAAUUCUCACUGAUUGGCCAUGGAAACCUCUUGGAAACUUUAAGGUUGUCUUACAUUCUUCCUUAGUCAUUCCUCUCUCAUGCACCCCAUGCAUAUACAUCUUAUUAUGUUUUUUUCGAAAGUGAUUUUGUCUCUAAAGUGAUCAUUGUUGUUCGAUGUUCUAUAUUUUAGCGACGAUCACGGUUGUGGAUACUGCAAAAAUCACGAAAUUGAAUAUACUUUAGAUAUGUUUUAUAUUUGAUAGUUAUAUAACCUUACACAUAAACAUUGCGUGACCUUAAAGAACUUCAUUUUUUUAGAUCAAAGUAUACAUUGAACAUGCUUUACUUUUUCUCUUUGGUGCAAUAGUAUUCCAUAAAAAAAUACACCAUGAACAAUUUUUUUAAUUACAUGCAAUAAUAUAUCUACAAAAAUGUAUUUUAUUUUUCUCUUUUACAAUAUCUCAUAUUCUUUAUUCUUUUAAAGGAUUUAAAUUCUGCAGUUGUAGACAUUAACUCCUGUAUUUAUACUAGUGGUAACAACUAAAAGUGUAUUUAUUUCUAAACCUUUUUAUUACCCUUUAUUAAUACUAGUAUUAUUGUUAUUACUUUUAGUUGUUAAUGAAAAUGUUUGAUAUUGUUUGAAUUUAUUUUGCAGUAUGUGAUACUGACUCCAUGGAUUAUUCAUAGCACAUAUUCAGUGUUUGUGAAGGAUAAGAGUGAAAGAGAUAUAUCAACUUCUCUCAUAUUUCCAUUUUUGUUGCUUCGUAUGCUUCAUAAUCAGAUAUGGAUAAGUUUCUCUCGUUAUAGAACUGCAAAAGGAACUACUAGAAUUGUUGAUAAAGGGAUUGAAUUUGAUCAAGUUGAUAGAGAAAGAAACUGGUCAGUACUUUAUUCAUCGUUCAUCUUUUAUCAUAUACGUAACAUGAACAUAAUUACUAUAUUCAAGAUAUUAUCGUGAUCGACUAGAAUUACGAUCGCAAAACUUGUACUCAAAUGUAUACAUAUGUACAUCGAUCACAAAUCAUGAUUGCACUCACUUCUUUGACGGAUAUUAACUCUUUGGGAAAAGAAUUAAUCGAUUUUGGGGUGUGUGAAUGUUCUUUUCAACAAAUGUUGUUUCCAUAAAUCGAAUCCUUGACUGAUUGAUUAUCCUAGGGAUCUAGUGAAGUCUUACACAACUAAACUUAUUGGUAAUAUAUAUUAGUUAAUGACAUUUAAUUAACUUAAUCUUUAAUUUGUCUAUAAAUUUAUAUUUGUGGGACACUACUAUUACUAUUAUUGAAGGUGCAAAUCAGAGAAUCUAAAAGUAGGUGCAAAUCAAAUAUAAUGAUACAAGGAAUAUAAAUUAAAUUUUUGUUUAAUCAAAUGACAAAUAACGGAACAUAUUAUUACUAUUCUAAUAAAGGUUGAUAAGUGCUCCUCAAGAGUGAUGUCUUUUUCUAACAAAAUCAUAAAUAAUGUCAAAUACACCACUCAUUUCAUAUUUUAAGGUUAAUAAAUGAUUAACAAAUUUGUGUUUUUGACUAAAAUAUCCCUAUUUAUUUCUGAAGAAAGAGAAGAGAAAGUGUAACUAAUUAAUAAAAAGAAAAUAGAUGUAUUUAUUGAAUUAGGAUAAACUUUGAAGAAUAUUUUUCAAAUCUUGAAAUUGUAAUACAAAAGUAGUUUAAAAAAUAAAAUAUUUUAAACAACAAAAUAUAUGAAAUGGGAGACAUAUUUUUUGUGUGCUGAAUAUAUGUGUUAAUCAUAGAUUCUUUUUUCCUUUUUAACAAAUAAGGAUAUUCUUACACUAACUUCAUUAACACCACUUUUCACCAUAUUUUAGGAUGAAAUGAGAAUUUUCUUUCUUGUUUUUAAUACUUGGUAAAAGUUUUUUAUCAAUAAUUAUAAAUUUGAUGAAUAAAAAACAACCUCCUUAGACAAAGUUGGAGUACAUAUUAUUGUACAUAUUAUAUCUUAAGUAAUUUAAAAACCUCGAAAGACUAUAAUAAAAAUUAAUCCAAUUUCUAGACGAAUAUUAUUAUAGGAGAAACAAUUAAGAAGAAUUUAAAGAUCGAUAUUUUGUCAGUGAAAACAUAACAGAACAUUAAGUUAUCAUUCAUUUCAUAUUAUCGAUCUUACCCGAUAAGAUUAAGACUUUAUUGUCAUUGUAUAUACAAAAGUGCGAUAACAAAAUAGCCGAGUUAAACUUUUUCUUGAUUAUUUUUUUGUGUGGAUCACCAUGUAGGGAUGACCAAAUAUUAUUCAAUGGAUUACUAUACUAUUUGGCAAGCUAUACCUUAGUUGGUGCAUCAAAUCUUCCAUUUUGGAGAAGUGAUGGAGUUAUUAUGGCUAUAUUUCUUCAUGCUGGACCAGUAGAAUUUCUUUACUAUUGGUUACAUAGAGCACUUCAUCAUCAUUAUCUCUAUUCAAGAUACCAUUCUCAUCAUCAUUCUUCUAUUGUCACUGAACCCAUUACUUGUGAGUUAUCAUCAUUAUAUAUACAUUAAUUGCUUUUGGUUUAGAAUUCAAACCAUUUCUAACUACCCUUUUACUUUUAUAUAUAACCAUGCAACUUCAUAAAUGCAUUUAAAUGUUAAAUGUCAGCAUUGCUCAAAUACAAUGCAUGCUUGUCAUUUACAUAAGGAUAUGUUAUAGGGAGGACCACUUUAUAAAGUACAACAAGUAGAGGAAAUUAUAAUUGGUUCAAAUUCAAAGAUAGAGAUCAACUUCACUCAAAAUAUCUCACUUAUUUAUGAGAUAUAAAUGUGCCAAUAUUUUGGGUCACUAUUUAUAUUUUCUUUUUGUAUCCGAACAAAUGUCGCUCAUAAGAAUCGAAUUUUUUGAUAUUUUAGUCAUCGUGAAAAUCUAACAAGAUUUUACACCACUUGAUCAAUAUCUUAUUGGUAAGUACACAUAUGUUGUCCCACUACAUGUAACAUCAUAUGCGAUUGGUCAGAAAAAUGAUUAAUUAUUAAUUUUUUAAUUUCAAAAUAUUUAUUUUUCAACCAAUCAUAAGCGGAUGAUACAUACAGUGGGACAACAGAUGUGCUCUCAUUAUUGGUAGGUCACUAUUUAUAUGUGCUGCGUUAAACUGAUGUGAUUUUUUUGGUACUAUCAAUAUAUUCCCUCACCCAUUUUGGAUAAGAAACUAAUUUUUUUUGGAACGUGUGGUUGCCUUCUAGGAAUCGAACUAUUGUUAUUUUAAUUAUCCUAAAGAUCUAACAAGACCUUAUACCUAGACCAAAUCUUAUUGGUUUAAACUGUUGUGAUUGACACACAAAAAUAUAAAUAUGUUAAGUAGUUAAUUUUUUUUAUAGAUGGUGAUGUUACCAUUAAGAACUUUAGUAUGAAUCAUGCAUAUAUAAAUAUAAAUAUAAAUGACAAUUAUUUAACCAUACUAGAAUAUUCCACCAUAGUUAUUACCAAAUCAAAGUGUACAGCUACCCCUAUAGAGGUAUUGGUGUAUGUAUCUGACUCAUUGAAUGUCAUAUCUCACAGUACCAACAUUAGAAAUGAAUAUUAUAAGUUAGGUAUAGAAGGUUACAUGCAAACUCAUUAUUGAGACAACUCAAAAUAACAGUUUUGUCCCAUUAAGUCAUGAGAGACUUCCAUAAAAUGAUAAGAUUGUUACUUAGUAAUUAUAAAGUUAUAUGUUCGAGUUCUGGAAACAAUUUUUUGUUUAUAGGAUAAAUUUAUAUACAUUUGUUUUCCUCGUACAUUAUUAAGCGAGAGCCUCAUACAUUAAGUUGCCUAUUUUUUAUUUAUUAUGAGCACCAUGUAGGUUUAUUUUGAGUUUUUAUUUGUUUUCCAUAACCACUAUUAUUUUUUAGUGUAAUAUAUAUGUAUUGUUAGAGUAUAGAUUUAUAUAUAGUCACUAUAUCAUUUAUUACUCAUUUAAAUUAUAUUUUUUGAAGAUUAAAUUAUGGAUAAUAUAAUAAAAAUAUAUCAAACUCAUUCAGUAUUAGUGUAUACAUUUUUUCUCAUUAUCUUAUCCUAAAAAUAUUAUUCUCUUAUUUUUUUAGCACAUGUUUGUUGAAUUGUUAGUCUAAAAUAAUAUUAAUCUCUUAUUACUUACUUUGUUUGCAGCUGUUAUACAUCCAUUUGCAGAACACAUAUCAUAUUUCCUUCUUUUUGCAAUUCCACUUUUAACCCUAGUUUUCACACAAAGAGCCUCAUUGGUGGCCAUGGUUGGAUAUGUCAUUUACAUUGAUUUUAUGAACAAUUUGGGUCAUUGCAAUUUUGAGAUUGUUCCUAAAUGGCUCUUCAAAAUCUUCCCUCCUCUCAAGUAUCUCAUGUAUACACCAUCGUAAGUAUUUUACUACUUCAAAUACUUAUACAUAUGCAAUAAUACAUCUACAUUAUUAAUACUAGCAUGCCGAUUUUAUAUUGAAAGUUGUGUUACGAAAAUGGCUAGGUAUAGGUUGGGUUAAGGUACAUUACUGAUUACUGAAUACGUGAGUGAAGCUGUCAAGAGAGAAAGAGAUAUCGUCGAGUCAGUGUCGAUAUAGUGAAAGCGACUGUUAUGUCGACCCUUAAAGGGAAUGAUAAAUGUUAGGAGUCUCACAUUGAGUAGAAUAACAAACUUAAUAUGAUAUUUAAGUCAUGAUGCUCUCUCGUAGUACUUAAUAUGAUAUAUAUAUACACAUACAAAUAGGCAAAUAAUUAAUGGUUAAAUAUAUUUUCUUUUCCCUAAAGUUUAAUUAGCAAGUUUUGAUUUUAAUUCAUUCUUGUAACUUUUUCUUUAAUUUUUUUUGUUUUUAUAUAUUUUAAAAUUUGAUUUAAACCUCUAUAGAUAAUAUUAUAAAAUAAUAAUUGUUCAUGUCAAACAUUAAUAGAACAUUGUCACAUAUGGAUCUUAACUACAUUAUUAUUAACAAUUAAAACCAAAUUUCUAAAACAUAUAGAAGACCAAAACACAAACAAAAAAAAUUAAAGAUUAAAACCAAAACUAAAUCAAUUUUCAACCACCAAAUAAUUAUAAACCUUGUUAUAAAGGGUACUCAAAACCCAAUAUAAUAUCUAACCUAUGAAGAGAAAAAAGUCUCUGCCAUAAUAACAGUGUAUAUAUAUUCUUCAUAUCAAUUAAUGCUUCUAUGUUCUAACCACAGCCAUGGAAUCAUAUUCAAAUCUUUCUUCAUUAUGAUUCACCUGUUUCAAUUUUCAACAUUAAUUAGAUACGCAAUAUUAAGAGCUUAUUAUGAGAGUAGAAUAAUGAUACAUGCUACAAAAAUUAUUAGAACCAUGUUCAUAUGUAAAACUAAUAGAAUGAUAAAUAUAUUAUUUUCUAAUGAAAUUUAUUUAGCUUUUGAUUAAAAUCCUUAACAUAUGUCAUUCAACUCAUAUUGAUUUUUUAUUGUGAUGGAAUAAAUUAGGGCACAUAUUUAUAUUUGAGAAGAGUAAAUUUUUAAUUUCAAUUUUACUUUAUGUAUGAUUUCUAAAUUUCGAAGUCAUUUUCUUUUACAGAAUUUUGAAGUCUCUUAUGAUUGCAUUUAAAAAUAUUUUCAAAACUUGAAAUUUAUACUAACAUUUGAUGGAAACGUAGUAUUAAUAAUAUGUAUAAUUGAAGUACUAACAUUUUUAACUCUAAAAUAAAAUAGUAGAUUUCAAUUUAUUUUAACAUUUUUAUUAUUUAUCAUUUUAUUAUAGAACAUUAAAUUGAGACUUGAAAUUGUAGUUGAAUAGUAAUUUCCAUUAGUUUAAUAAAUAAUAUAUAUGCUUGAAGAUAAUUUUCAUUUCAUUAGAAGGAAGAAAACCACAGGAACUUCUAACAAAGGUAACAUAUAAGAAUAAUAGUUUUAUAAGAAUAAAGAAUUAAACAUAAGCCAAUGAUUAAAUACUACAUUAAAAAUCAUAGGUUCUAAUCUCUUAAAUUUGUCACUUUCUUAGAAAACCAUAGUACUAAAUGUCUUAAAGUUGUCUUGUCAUGAUAACAGCAUGACUGAUUGGAUCACAUGGUUUGUCUAGUUCAUAUAUGAGAAUGGAGAAUACACAUACUUCUCUCAACACAAUAUAAGGAUGUUUUAUCCGAGAAAUUUUUAUUACUAUCUAUCUGAUCAAUCAAAUUUCAUAAAAUAAUAUAAAAAUAUUAAUUUAUGUUAUCAUAAUUUUUUUUAAUUAAAUAAAAUUUUCUAAUUAGAUAAGAAUGAAAUAGGUGAUUCUCAUCCCUCUCAACAUGCACGUAGAAUCUUUACUUUUCUCUUGUCAUAUAAAUUUACUCAAUAUUUAGUGAUCACUUAAUAUUUUUAUUAAAUAAAAAGUAAAGCUGCAAAAAUUGUAAACACUUUAUAGACCAAUUUUGAUCCAUUAAUGAUCUUAUCUUUUCACUUGUAUCUAGUUUUACCUUCUUUCUCAAACACUUUUUGUCCCUAUAUUCCAAACCAAUUAUAUUUUACCAAAUAACACUAAAAUGUUGUUUUAUUUUUAAGUAUGUGUCAAUUUUUUAUUGGAUUGAGACACAAUGAAACACAAAAAGUGAGACAAUGGAUCUGCAUUCGGAGUGGCAUACUAUUACAACCUAUAAACUUUGUUAUAUCUUUCCUUAAUGUGUUGCAGGUUCCACUCAUUGCACCAUACCCAGUUUAGAACAAAUUACUCCUUAUUUAUGCCAUUAUAUGAUUACAUUUAUGGCACCAUGGACAAGAAUUCAGAUGAAUUACAUGAAUCAGCAUUAAAAAGAGAAGAAGAUACACCAAAUGUUAUUCACUUAACACAUUUUACUACUCCUGAAUCCAUUUAUCAUCUCAGACUUGGAUUUCCUUCAUUAGCUUCUAAACCUUACAUGCAAAAAUGGUACAUUUCUUUAAUGUGGCCUAUUACAGCAUGGUCCAUGAUACUCACAUGGUUCUAUGGUCACACAUUCAUUGUUGAAAGGAACACUUUUCACAAACUCAAAAUUCAAACUUGGGCAAUACCUAAGUAUAGUUUCCAAGUAAGUACAUUCAUUUUCACUUCUUUACAUUAAAUUAUGAUUAAUUGCAUGUUUUUGGAUUCAUUUAUACAUAUAGAAUAUCUUUUAUAGAAGCCUAAUAAUUAUAUUGCAUGACUUUAAUAUGUUGAAUAUCUAGGGCAAAUCAAGGUUUUACAUUUAGGUAAUUGAAGAGGCGUAAUUUCUAUAUUAUAACGUUGUCCUUGCUAUUAUAUAAAUGUGAAAUAUGCCUAAAGGAUAUUUAUGUAAUUGAACCUGUAUAAUUUCAUUUAGUAACCAUUAUGACAUAAUUUUCAUAUUACAAUUUUAUCCGUUUGUAACAUCCUAAUAAUAACUACAAUAAACUUUCAUAUGUUCUUUUAUUCUUUUCUGUCAAUGUAUCACUAUUAUUUUAUACAUUCUCCUACUUCUAUUUCUCUCUUCAUCCCUCCAAGGAGAAAAACUUUGACCCACACGAAAAAACAUCCAAUGACACACUAAUCAUGAUUAGAGGCAUAAGUUGAGAAAUUUAUAGAAACUUUUUAUAAGAAUAUGCAGGUAACAGACACAAAGUGUCGGUUAAUACAGUAGUAUUAAUAAUGGAAAUGAUUGAUGAUAUAUUCAUAAUGUAAAAAAAACCUUUACAUUUUAUUGCACCCAAGUGAAAUUUAAUGUAUUUUCAAUAUUAAUAAGAUUAACUAUUUCAUAAGUGAGACACCACGUCUUGAACUAAAACUUUAAGGCAUUAGUUCCAUGGGCUUUUCCUUCUUAUAAACUCUUUCACUCCUCCCCACAUAUCUAAUGUGGGACUUCACACUUGAAUAAACCCAACACAUUAUAUAAUGAUGUGAUUUACUUUCUGCUCAAAUUUUUUCAGUACUUUCUAGAAUGGCAAAAAGGGCCUAUCAACAGAAUAAUUGAGGAAGCAAUAUUGGAUGCUGAUAGAAAAGGCAUAAAAGUAGUGAGCUUAGGGCUCAUGAAUCAAGAUGAAGAGCUUAACAUGAAUGGAGGAUUAUAUGUUAGUAAGAAUCCAAAGCUCAAAGUUAAGGUUGUUGAUGGAAGCACUCUUGCAGUUGCUAUUGUUCUUAACACCAUUCCUAAAGGAAAAACUCAAGUAUUACUUAGGGGCAAACUCACCAAGGUUGCUUAUGCUAUUGCCUACACCUUGUGCCAGCAAGGUGUUCAGGUACGCUUAUUAAUGUUUUAAAUUGUAGUUGCAGUCAAAUAAUCUUAUAAAAUACAAUGCAAUCACAACAUUGUUCAGCAAAGUAGGAAAAUCAUAAUAUUAGGACUAGUAUUGUACGAAGGUGAAAACAGGUUAGGUUAGGUCAGGUUUUGCUUCAAAUAGGCCGAACUUAUAUAUCAUAUAGAAGUCUGAACCUGACCUUUAGCUUGUUUAAAAAAAAUUCAUAGUAACUGUUUAAAGGUCCGACAUGUUAACCUAUUUGAAGGUCUACUAUAUUGGUCAUGAAAUAGGUCAUUAUGUCUUAUUUACAUGGGCUAAUAAGCUUACUUUUAGCUAGACCGAUAUAACUCAAAUAAUUAAAUUAUAUUUUUGUAUACAUUUUUAUAAUAAUAUUAUCUAUAUUAAAAUAGUAUAAUAUCAACGUUGUUAUAUAAUAUAACUAAAUAGGUUGAUCUCUUCAGGUUAAUAGGUCUUUUAAAUGGUCUAAAAUAUGACGUGUUAAACUAAAUAUUUUUUUAAAAAAAAUCUGAGUCUUAUUAAUUGUGAUUAUGGAAUUAUGACAAUAUUGCUUGUUAGAUAUCUAGGGAAAAAUGUUUAUUUAAAUCUCUACCUUAAAUUUUGAUCAUGUGACUUUAUUUCAGGUUGCUACAAUGUAUGAAGAUGAUUAUGUGAAGCUCAAUAAGUCAUUCAAUGGCUCAGAAACUAAUUUGAUCAUGACUAAAAGUUUCACUCAGACGGUAACAUAACAUAACAAAAACUAUUUUCUUAUUUCAAUUUUAGAAUUUUGCUUAACAAGAAACACUUAAAUAAGUUCUCAAUUCUACAAGUUAGAACCUUGAUAGUGGUUUUUCUUUUUUAUCGGCAAUGGUUAAUAUGUAUAUUAGUUGUUAAUAUGUUAGUAUUUUGUUGUGGUGAGACUCCACUUUCAACCUCCUACACCCUAUCAUCAAACCACCCUUAUAACUCCUAUUUUUGUUGAUGGUGGGACUCGAACCCACAACCUCCUACGCUCUAUUCCUUACUAUCGCCCUCUUCACCCUGAUAGUGGUUGUUAUUGAAUUGUUCCUUAUUAUUCUAUGUUUGUUUGAUGAAUAGACAUGGUUAGUUGGAGAAGAUUUGAGUGAAGAGGAACAAAAAAAGGCACCAAAAGGAACAUUAUUUAUUCCAUACUCACAAUUCCCACCAAAGAAAUACCGCAAAGAUUGUUCCUUCCAUUGCACUCCUGCAAUGCUAACUCCAACUUCUCUUGAAAAUGUUCAUUCUUGUGAGGUAAUUUCUACCAUCUUUUCACUUCCAUGCAUGUAUAUAUAGGGUAAAAAACAUUUACACCAUCACCACAUAUUCACUAUGUCAGAGUUACAAUUCAACAACACUCAUUUUUAGGAUUCAACGGCAUUUUCGGGCGCUGAUUACAUAAGUGCAGUAGAAUGUCGGGUAUGAUUCAAUGCCGCGGACAGUAGCUGCAUGGAGCUCUGUUAUAUGUUGUACUUAUAAUAGCGUCCCUCUCUAUAGAGCGUUAUUAUAUGAUACAUAUAACAACACUCCUUUUAGAAAAUAUUGUUGGAUGUAUCACAUAUAACAAUGUUCCACAGAAUGAACGCUGUUGUAUGUAUCAUAUAUAACAUCGCUCUCUAACGUGAGCGUUGUUGAAUGUUAUACAUACAAUAACACUUCCUACAAGGAGCAUCGUUGUAUGUAUUACAUACAACAGCGUUUCUCAGAGCUUCUCCUAACAAACACCAUUAAUUAUUGUACACAUUAAUACAUGCAUAUAUAUACAUUUAUUAACAGCACAACGAAUAUAUAUUAUAUAGUUGUCUAAUUCGUCAUAGUAAAUUAGUGUACAAAUAUUUACACUAUCAACGCAUAAUCGAUAUAUUUUGUAGUUCGAUUUGAAAGAUGUUGUUAUAUACAAUGCAGGGUUGGUUGCCAAGGAGGGUAAUGAGUGCAUGGCGCAUAGCUGGGAUAGUGCACUCUUUAGAAGGAUGGAAUGAAAAUGAGUGUGGCUACAAAAUGCAUAACAUUGACAAAGUUUGGAAUACAACUAUUCAACAUGGGUUUAUACCUAUCCCUAUUCCUGUCCCAUCUUAUCCAAAGAAUUAGGUCAUUAUUAAUGAAUGAAUAUAUGGGAAAAAUCAAACAUGUAUGCUUCUUAUAAUAUCCUAGUUAUGAUUAUCAUUUCCUAAAAUAAGUCUUUAUAUAUGUACUACAUGCAUGAUAAUGCAUGCACAACAACAUUAAUACCCUAUAGUUUGUUUAAGUUGUCUUUAUCAUUUUGUUAUAUAUAGUAGUUUGUUCUUAAAUAAAAAUAAUGCAAAUGAAUAGUAAAUUAUGCAUUAACUGUCUUAUGAAUUUUUACACUAUUAGUAUAUGAAUAUUUCACUCUUCAAUAUAAAAAUUUCUUUUCUAAUCCAUAUGUGAAACAAAAUAACUUAUUGUGUUACAAUUUUUAUAUCCACCUAUAAAUUAAUUUUUUUUUAAUAAAUAAUAUGUUAUGAAUAAUUAUUUUCAUUUUUACAUUUUAUUUUUUGGAAAUAAAAUAUUAUGAAUAAUAUGUCAAUUAGUGUUGAAUUGGAAAAAACAUUCUUUAAACACAGUCUAGAAUCAAUGGUUGCUUGUAUAAAAGGGAUAGCGUAUUUCAUGAGACUCCUAUCUAGUUGAGUCCGCCGAGAAUAAAUAUACACAGCUUUAUCGUUCACACCCCUAGUCAAAAUUUCAUCAUUGUUUAUGUCAUAUGUUUGUAGAUAAUGAACCUUAUAUUUUUACAAGUUCUAGUUAAUCCAAUAUGUCCAAAUACUCCAAACCAUCAAAUCUAAGGGACAAACUGCAACACUUCAAUCUCUAAUUGAAAAUUUGAUAACUACAGGAAAAAUUCAUCGUUACAGUUUAGUAAGAAACUCAGGUUUGAAAAGGAAAACAAAAUCGAGAAGUGGAUGAACUCUAAGUCAUAAUCACCGCAAAAGGCGAAUAAGAAAAACGAGAAACAACGGGCAGAAGGAUGAAGCUUGUAAUCACGAUAAAUUGUCCCGAUUUUGGUAUGCUAGAACUGAUCAUUCUAACAUUUCGCUGCCAGCGAUCGUGUAAAAAAUUUGUACAUGAAGUGAAGCUUGAGUGAUACUAUAUCAGCUUCAGGUAUUUUUAUACAAACUGCAGAAAACAAAUAAACAUCAAAACCAGUUAUUCUUAGUCAAUAAACAAUCAUGAUGAUGAGAAAGUGAUAACCAUAUGAGAAGAAAACAUAGAACCCUCAAGGUUCCAACAACCAGGAAAUCUCAGUUCACACAGUAAUUUUACAUCAAUGCUGUUGAGUACGAAACUGUUGCCGAUGAAUGGCCAAUUCUACUUUGGCCAGCCAGUCAAAACAAGCCCGAAAAUGGCUGCAAAAUUACAUGUUUGUGUGCUGUAUUCGUUUCAUAAAUUCUCAGAAUUCUAAAAUACAAUAAUUUUUCUAUUAAUUCCAAAAUCUCAAUAGAGAGGGUGAGUCUCAGCGCAAUAUGAAGGUUUUUGUCUUUGUAACCUAGAUGUCAUGAGUUUAAACCCCGGAAACAAUCUCUUUACUUACGAGAGUAAGACUGCGUACAUUUACCCUUCCCAGACACCAGUAGGUGGAAGCCUCGUGUAGUAAGCUACCAUUUUUUAAUUCCAAAAUCUCAAUAACAUAGACAACUAAAAGGUAUUGAUAACCUAAAUUUGCACCACUCUCCACUGCCACCUCUAUCUCAAUAUCAAUGCCCACAUAUCUAAUGUGGGACUUCACACUUGAAUAAACCCAACACAUUAUAUAAUGAUGUGAUUUACUUUCUGCUCAAAUUUUUUCAGUACUUUCUAGAAUGGCAAAAAGGGCCUAUCAACAGAAUAAUUGAGGAAGCAAUAUUGGAUGCUGAUAGAAAAGGCAUAAAAGUAGUGAGCUUAGGGCUCAUGAAUCAAGAUGAAGAGCUUAACAUGAAUGGAGGAUUAUAUGUUAGUAAGAAUCCAAAGCUCAAAGUUAAGGUUGUUGAUGGAAGCACUCUUGCAGUUGCUAUUGUUCUUAACACCAUUCCUAAAGGAAAAACUCAAGUAUUACUUAGGGGCAAACUCACCAAGGUUGCUUAUGCUAUUGCCUACACCUUGUGCCAGCAAGGUGUUCAGGUACGCUUAUUAAUGUUUUAAAUUGUAGUUGCAGUCAAAUAAUCUUAUAAAAUACAAUGCAAUCACAACAUUGUUCAGCAAAGUAGGAAAAUCAUAAUAUUAGGACUAGUAUUGUACGAAGGUGAAAACAGGUUAGGUUAGGUCAGGUUUUGCUUCAAAUAGGCCGAACUUAUAUAUCAUAUAGAAGUCUGAACCUGACCUUUAGCUUGUUUAAAAAAAAUUCAUAGUAACUGUUUAAAGGUCCGACAUGUUAACCUAUUUGAAGGUCUACUAUAUUGGUCAUGAAAUAGGUCAUUAUGUCUUAUUUACAUGGGCUAAUAAGCUUACUUUUAGCUAGACCGAUAUAACUCAAAUAAUUAAAUUAUAUUUUUGUAUACAUUUUUAUAAUAAUAUUAUCUAUAUUAAAAUAGUAUAAUAUCAACGUUGUUAUAUAAUAUAACUAAAUAGGUUGAUCUCUUCAGGUUAAUAGGUCUUUUAAAUGGUCUAAAAUAUGACGUGUUAAACUAAAUAUUUUUUUAAAAAAAAUCUGAGUCUUAUUAAUUGUGAUUAUGGAAUUAUGACAAUAUUGCUUGUUAGAUAUCUAGGGAAAAAUGUUUAUUUAAAUCUCUACCUUAAAUUUUGAUCAUGUGACUUUAUUUCAGGUUGCUACAAUGUAUGAAGAUGAUUAUGUGAAGCUCAAUAAGUCAUUCAAUGGCUCAGAAACUAAUUUGAUCAUGACUAAAAGUUUCACUCAGACGGUAACAUAACAUAACAAAAACUAUUUUCUUAUUUCAAUUUUAGAAUUUUGCUUAACAAGAAACACUUAAAUAAGUUCUCAAUUCUACAAGUUAGAACCUUGAUAGUGGUUUUUCUUUUUUAUCGGCAAUGGUUAAUAUGUAUAUUAGUUGUUAAUAUGUUAGUAUUUUGUUGUGGUGAGACUCCACUUUCAACCUCCUACACCCUAUCAUCAAACCACCCUUAUAACUCCUAUUUUUGUUGAUGGUGGGACUCGAACCCACAACCUCCUACGCUCUAUUCCUUACUAUCGCCCUCUUCACCCUGAUAGUGGUUGUUAUUGAAUUGUUCCUUAUUAUUCUAUGUUUGUUUGAUGAAUAGACAUGGUUAGUUGGAGAAGAUUUGAGUGAAGAGGAACAAAAAAAGGCACCAAAAGGAACAUUAUUUAUUCCAUACUCACAAUUCCCACCAAAGAAAUACCGCAAAGAUUGUUCCUUCCAUUGCACUCCUGCAAUGCUAACUCCAACUUCUCUUGAAAAUGUUCAUUCUUGUGAGGUAAUUUCUACCAUCUUUUCACUUCCAUGCAUGUAUAUAUAGGGUAAAAAACAUUUACACCAUCACCACAUAUUCACUAUGUCAGAGUUACAAUUCAACAACACUCAUUUUUAGGAUUCAACGGCAUUUUCGGGCGCUGAUUACAUAAGUGCAGUAGAAUGUCGGGUAUGAUUCAAUGCCGCGGACAGUAGCUGCAUGGAGCUCUGUUAUAUGUUGUACUUAUAAUAGCGUCCCUCUCUAUAGAGCGUUAUUAUAUGAUACAUAUAACAACACUCCUUUUAGAAAAUAUUGUUGGAUGUAUCACAUAUAACAAUGUUCCACAGAAUGAACGCUGUUGUAUGUAUCAUAUAUAACAUCGCUCUCUAACGUGAGCGUUGUUGAAUGUUAUACAUACAAUAACACUUCCUACAAGGAGCAUCGUUGUAUGUAUUACAUACAACAGCGUUUCUCAGAGCUUCUCCUAACAAACACCAUUAAUUAUUGUACACAUUAAUACAUGCAUAUAUAUACAUUUAUUAACAGCACAACGAAUAUAUAUUAUAUAGUUGUCUAAUUCGUCAUAGUAAAUUAGUGUACAAAUAUUUACACUAUCAACGCAUAAUCGAUAUAUUUUGUAGUUCGAUUUGAAAGAUGUUGUUAUAUACAAUGCAGGGUUGGUUGCCAAGGAGGGUAAUGAGUGCAUGGCGCAUAGCUGGGAUAGUGCACUCUUUAGAAGGAUGGAAUGAAAAUGAGUGUGGCUACAAAAUGCAUAACAUUGACAAAGUUUGGAAUACAACUAUUCAACAUGGGUUUAUACCUAUCCCUAUUCCUGUCCCAUCUUAUCCAAAGAAUUAGGUCAUUAUUAAUGAAUGAAUAUAUGGGAAAAAUCAAACAUGUAUGCUUCUUAUAAUAUCCUAGUUAUGAUUAUCAUUUCCUAAAAUAAGUCUUUAUAUAUGUACUACAUGCAUGAUAAUGCAUGCACAACAACAUUAAUACCCUAUAGUUUGUUUAAGUUGUCUUUAUCAUUUUGUUAUAUAUAGUAGUUUGUUCUUAAAUAAAAAUAAUGCAAAUGAAUAGUAAAUUAUGCAUUAACUGUCUUAUGAAUUUUUACACUAUUAGUAUAUGAAUAUUUCACUCUUCAAUAUAAAAAUUUCUUUUCUAAUCCAUAUGUGAAACAAAAUAACUUAUUGUGUUACAAUUUUUAUAUCCACCUAUAAAUUAAUUUUUUUUUAAUAAAUAAUAUGUUAUGAAUAAUUAUUUUCAUUUUUACAUUUUAUUUUUUGGAAAUAAAAUAUUAUGAAUAAUAUGUCAAUUAGUGUUGAAUUGGAAAAAACAUUCUUUAAACACAGUCUAGAAUCAAUGGUUGCUUGUAUAAAAGGGAUAGCGUAUUUCAUGAGACUCCUAUCUAGUUGAGUCCGCCGAGAAUAAAUAUACACAGCUUUAUCGUUCACACCCCUAGUCAAAAUUUCAUCAUUGUUUAUGUCAUAUGUUUGUAGAUAAUGAACCUUAUAUUUUUACAAGUUCUAGUUAAUCCAAUAUGUCCAAAUACUCCAAACCAUCAAAUCUAAGGGACAAACUGCAACACUUCAAUCUCUAAUUGAAAAUUUGAUAACUACAGGAAAAAUUCAUCGUUACAGUUUAGUAAGAAACUCAGGUUUGAAAAGGAAAACAAAAUCGAGAAGUGGAUGAACUCUAAGUCAUAAUCACCGCAAAAGGCGAAUAAGAAAAACGAGAAACAACGGGCAGAAGGAUGAAGCUUGUAAUCACGAUAAAUUGUCCCGAUUUUGGUAUGCUAGAACUGAUCAUUCUAACAUUUCGCUGCCAGCGAUCGUGUAAAAAAUUUGUACAUGAAGUGAAGCUUGAGUGAUACUAUAUCAGCUUCAGGUAUUUUUAUACAAACUGCAGAAAACAAAUAAACAUCAAAACCAGUUAUUCUUAGUCAAUAAACAAUCAUGAUGAUGAGAAAGUGAUAACCAUAUGAGAAGAAAACAUAGAACCCUCAAGGUUCCAACAACCAGGAAAUCUCAGUUCACACAGUAAUUUUACAUCAAUGCUGUUGAGUACGAAACUGUUGCCGAUGAAUGGCCAAUUCUACUUUGGCCAGCCAGUCAAAACAAGCCCGAAAAUGGCUGCAAAAUUACAUGUUUGUGUGCUGUAUUCGUUUCAUAAAUUCUCAGAAUUCUAAAAUACAAUAAUUUUUCUAUUAAUUCCAAAAUCUCAAUAGAGAGGGUGAGUCUCAGCGCAAUAUGAAGGUUUUUGUCUUUGUAACCUAGAUGUCAUGAGUUUAAACCCCGGAAACAAUCUCUUUACUUACGAGAGUAAGACUGCGUACAUUUACCCUUCCCAGACACCAGUAGGUGGAAGCCUCGUGUAGUAAGCUACCAUUUUUUAAUUCCAAAAUCUCAAUAACAUAGACAACUAAAAGGUAUUGAUAACCUAAAUUUGCACCACUCUCCACUGCCACCUCUAUCUCAAUAUCAAUGCUAAUUACCAUAUACCAAUUAAAAAUGGAGCUAGUUCAACAUCAAUCAAAGAUUCACUAGUACCUUCAAUUAUGCACCCACAUAGGAUCCAAAGAGAAGAGCUUCUCAUUUCUUGUGCCAGAAGCAGGAGUUCUAGGUGGCAGCGCAUGCACCGUGAUUGGAAGAACCCAUUCAGUUUUGUCCCUUCCUUCAAUCAGAAGAGGAUGCUCAUAUCUGUGGUUCAAAAACCAUAUAAAUUUGAAUGACAAAUGCCUUAAAAGUAGCAAUUCUUUUUUAUUCCUAGGCGAAAAAAGUGACAAUUCUACUUCGUGUGCAUGCGCAGGUUGAAAUGACAAAAAAAUGGUUUGGAAGCCUAUAAUAUGUGUGCAUUAUGUUAAAAUGACAAAAAAUGGGCCGAACCGAAGAAGACAAGUUCAUGUACGUGUCAAAUAGUCUUGGAAUGGAGAAUUGCAAAAAGCGUAAUCGUAAACACUAAAUUAUGUGGCCUGCGGCCGAAGAUUGCAUUAGUGUGGAUUGUGGAAUGUAGAAUGAGAUGCUUGCAUGUAAGACCAGCAAAGAAAACAUGCAGUGGAUGGACAGUAUGAGAGGUCAAGGGUGAAAUAAAUACUUUUUCCAAUCCACAUGCUUCGGAGUGGUGAAAAAUUCGAAGCGGAGAACCCAUUGCACAGAUACAUGUGCAGUGGAGAAGGACAUUGGGCCAUCCAUGGGGACAGAAAAUAGAAAGCUUGUCUGCACCAAAUCUGCAACAACCUCGUGAUGGUCACUCAGAACCUAAAAGCAAAUUGAGAACAUAACUGUCAGAAUCAGAAGCGCUCAUAUCACAUUAUAAUAAUAUAGACAUAUUAACAAAUUAUCAAUAGUUAAAUCAUGACCCUAUUGCUUUUUCUCUUGACUAUUGCAUAAAAAAGGUAGGACAUACAAAGGCAAAAAUGACACACGACACGGGACACAACAUAAUACGGACAGAAACUAAAUGAAUAAUUCUUUCAAAAACAAAAUAUUGGCCUUCAAAUAUUCCUGAACUUUUCUUGGAUAGAGAAGAGAGGACAUAGGUAGACAAAACACGGCCCAAGACACAACAUAAUGCAGACAAAGACACUAAAUGGACAAUUUAAUAAUCCUGGCAUUUUGUCCGAUCAAAACGUACCAACAAACCAAACCAAAUAACACACUCAUAGUGACAAUUGGCAUUUAGGCCCAUAGCAAAUGGUGCAUAUAGCUUUGGACCACUAUUUGAAGCAUUUCAUUUAGCUAUGGUAGUGAAUAUUGGAAGUAAAGUUCCGACAAGAGCAAAAACAAAUAACUUUAGCGAAUGAGAAUCUUGAGACAGAUUAAUAUUUAAUACACCUAUAAGGAUCUAAAUUACCAUGAAUGAUGUACUUGGGAGAAAGUUGGAGUACCACCUAUUGAGAGAAAAUGAUAUAAACUCACGUAAGGAGGUUGGAUCAUGUGAGGUGUAGACCAAAAGAGGGAGGCUCUAGUGAGAAAAGGUGAAUAAAAUGAUAGAUAGUCAGAUUAAAAGAGGUAGAGGAGCUGAGGAAGACCAAACAAAACUUCAGGAGAACCAUUAACAAAGACCUUAAUCUAAAUGGAUUAAAUGAAACUCCGGUUUUUUAUACAAGCAUUCAGCAAAAAUGCAAAAGAAGCAUGGCCAGUGACAGUAAGAGCUAAAAGAACAGCCCAAAUACCUUGGUGAUUGUAGGUGAAUUCCUCCGAGAAGGGUGGACAAAUCGCCGAUUUAUAGUUUCCGAAGUUUCCAAUGUUAUUGAGAUCUAAAAAAACAACAAAAACAAUAAUAUGUUUCCCUUCCAGUGCAUCAAACAAAACAAAUAGUUUGUUAGCUAUAAAUUUAACUCUCCACAGUUGACAAAAAUGGGCAGUCACCUCAAGGCAUCUCCUAGCUACUUCUUCGUGAAAAAAAGUAAGAGUCCCUCCUAUCUGUAACAAGGAAGUCAAUUUUGAUUAGACUCAUAACCUGUUCUCGGCUUGUAUCCAAGUCUACAAAAUUGACGUUACCAUAUCACUGAAGUAAUAAGUCGAGUCGGAAUUUCUCGGGGAAUAUUUAAGCAAAACUUGAUCAUCAAGUCUGAUGUUAUAAGACCUUCCUCUAAUGAAGCCUUCUGCUGCAGAAAAUGUUCAAAAAAAAUUAGCUUACGCAUAAUCUGCAAAUAAUUUGAAGAACAACAUACAAUCUAUAUCCCGUCUGAAGCAGGCAAAAUCUUUAUGGGAGUGAAGAAAAUUGAUCAAGUUACAUGCUAAAGAUUCAAUGGCUCCAGCUUCUGGCGAAGACGACCCUCCUGCACCAUCUGGAGAAAACGGGUCUCUGAGCUUCUGUUGCUCACUUGGGGAGACAAUGCCAAAUGACUUCCGGGUUGAUAAGACAUCUGUUUGCUAAAUGAAUUAUUAUACGGCAAAGAAAGUCUUUGGAUUCAAAGCAAUAGUAAAAGAUGACAUCUAUCAAUCAGGGUACCAGACAUUAACAAACCAACAUAGCUCGAGACUGUUUCAGAAUUCAUCAUUUCCACAAGAAUGUGCAGUUUCAUAUAUAAACUGACCAGUAGGUAUAGGUUAUCUUGCUCACCAGGACCUGAAUCAGAUAACACCUCGGCAGCUGAUAGUCGAGGAAGUGCCAUAUUUGAAGAUACACUUGUUCGACGGCCUUCUAAAGCAGAAGUAUCCCUGUUCAAUGAUCUUGUGGAAGAAGAUCGCAACGAUGGUGAACUUCCAAAGCCUCUGAGUACGUUUCCUUUCAAGUGAUUAUACGAAGAAACAGAGGAGAUAUCGUCUCUUGAGCUGUCAUAUCCCUCAUCAACACCAUCAUACAUAUCAUCUGCUCUAACCUGUAAUGAAAUGGUUCUAUGUUAUAUCAAGGGUCCAACGAUAGCAUGCGGUAAGUAAAAGUUACUACAUCAAAAGAAAACGUAAACAGAGAAAUACCUAAGAAAUCUGGAUUCAUAGGGGGAAAGUGGAGUUUAACUAAGGCUGAUAAUGAUAGGAGGCCAAAAUCUGGGAAGACCUCCAUCAAUGGACUAAGCGAGAAACCACAACCGAGCCUGGCACUAUAUCUAGAAUCAAAAUUUUAAAGCGUUAAGUCUAUGGAUCUUCUAACUUAUGUGGUCCUCAAUUAAAUCAUUCCUUACUCCCGAGGGGCUUCAUCACUCACAUAACCUUCUAAUGUUCUCCUCCUCGAGUACGAGUCAAAAAACAAGGAUACCAAACACAAAAGAUAGUGCCGCUCAAGUAGAUAGUGGAGUAUCAGCUCAAUAGUCUAAGUGUCUAACCAAAGUGUGUUUUUUCUUGAAUAGCAGCCGCAACCGCGAUAAUAUCAAUAACUAUAUUAAAGUAUGUGCCCUACCCAAAUCAUCAGCUUUGGUACUACUAGUUAUUAUUAGGAAAGCCAAAAUGCAGAAGAUCAAUUCCAAUAGACAUGAAUAGAAACUACAAUAACGAGUUGCCAUACAAACAUUUUCCCUUCCCGAAAUCAAUGAAUAAGUCAAUAGCUUCUCGAAGCGUUAUGAACAUGGCUACUCUUAAUAAAAUGCAAAUAGCCCAUCCAAAAUCCAAAUGCCAAGCCACAAAUCAAAUGAAUAAAUAAACAUUAGCCAGUAAUUUAAAAAAUUAAGAAAUAAAUUUCAAGAUAGAUAUAACCUCUAAGAUCUCCACACACCUAUGACCAGUGUUCUUAAAAUCAAAGUAAACCACCUGGUUUUGAAUUAACAGAAUCUCCCAAAACUACACAAUAUCGUCAUCUAGCCAUCCGUUAAAAACAAAUAUUAUAAUAGAAAGUAAAUAAAUAUAAAGAUGCAUUAACAUAAUAAAGAAACUAGCAUAGUGAGUAGCCGAGUAUUGUCAAUUUAUAGCCCACAUUCAUUUCCCUAGAAAGUCACUAUCACGUAUUGCAUUCUCAGUAUUCGUUUUCGACAAACAUAGAUGCUUUGUUCUUAGAAAAAGUGCCAGCUCUAUCCAACUUAAAGUGUAACUUUUCGAGUCAUUUCACAUUUCGCACAUACGAUGUUUUAGAAUUAAAACCCAAUAAGGGCAUUCUUAAAGCAGAGGGUCACAGAUAAAUUUAAGCUAAAACCACAGAUAAGUUUAGUUUACCCAAUAAAAAAAUAUCAGCAAUAGCAUACCCAAUCAGCAUCUCCAUCCAUCUCUUUCCAAAAUAUAUCCAAUUGGACAGUAGCAGGGGGAACAAUAUCUGAAAACAUAUAAAUACUCGGAUAUAUUACUUAGAAUGUUUAAUGCAUAUUAAGAUAACUAAAACUUUCUGAAGCUACAUUAAAUGAAAAAAAAUGCAGAAGAACAAAAGAACAAUAAACAUAAGCUAACACCACAUCAUCAUCUCUGGAACACGGCGGAGCUUAUGUUUGCAUAAGCUAACAUUCAAAAAUGAAAAUAAGCCAUUUCCAUCAACUAAAGCAUAUUUUUUGAAUUUGCUAACAAAAAGGCAUCUUAUUUUAUAAAAAAGAACAUCUUUACAUUCACUACUUGACAAAAUUGUUUUAUUCAUAACUAAAAACAAUAAAGUAUGCCUCCGUAGGGAAGUCAGAAACUAUUACAAUAGGUUAGCAAUAAACAUACGAUAAACAUAAAAUAGAAAGAAAAGUUAACAACCAAGCUAACCUUCAUCCAUUAGAAUGCCGGUGUUUUUCUGGUUUAUCCAUAUUUGUAAUGGAAUACGAACUUCCUGCAAAAUAUUUAGUAAACAAGCUUCAAAAUCUUUAAAAAAAAGGCACAUCAAAACUUAAUAAAAAGUUCAAAUAAAUGUCCACAAAAAUAGUUUUCUACACGACUUUUCGUGGCAUAUAACAUCUUCAUGCCCAUUGCAAAGUAAAAUACUCCAUCAUGUUGAUAAAGGAUUCUAGCAACAGUUAUUGAAAAAUACGUAGGCAAAACCCACCAGCCUAUGAAUAAAUUCAGAACAUGAUUUGUAAGUCCAAAAUUAAGAUUCAUUAAACUUCAAAUUUAAUGUCAUAAAAAAGGAAUAAUUCAUUUAUUAAAACUUCAUAGGAUGGGAUUUCUGCCAGUUAUAUAGCCUUUUUAUAACUCAUCCCAGAAAAUGUGCACUUUAUAGCAUUCAAUACCUUGCUAUGUUUCUUGGAAUUUAUUUUGAAUUGCGUUUUUGGAUACCAAGAUGUUUCGGGAGGAUUGGAACUGCAGCACAAGGUGUUCGAAAAGAAAGCAGUUUUUACAAUAUUUUCAGUUAGGUGUAUGUCUGUUUACCAUAUGAUGCAAUAAAAUCUUAAUCCUGAUGUCUAAGCACAUGUGAAAGCCUAGAAUAUUUUACUUCUCCUAUUUGUAACCUGACUACACUGCAAAUUUGUUUUGACCAACCAUAAAUGUAGACGGAGACCAAUAAAAACUCUAAGUGAAACAAUUAAAAAGGACUUCUAGAUCUGUAUGGCCUGUCUAAAGAAUGAGAAAAAGAUGUAUACACUGAUAGUGUAAGAAUUUUUUUACAUUGUCACUGUAUCAUCUGCCGUUCAUUUUCAAUCAUCACCGACUCUUCAAAAAAAAAUACAAAUGAAUGGUGGAUGAUGUACUAACUGUGUAUAAAUCUUUACACAUAGUCAUAGACAAUGCAUAGAAAUUACACUCAUAAAGAACUAGUUUACAACAAAACACAAUGGAAAUAUUUGGUCCAUGUAGGCACCUUCAACUACUGGGAAAAGACUUCUGUUGUUGUUGCCACUUAGCAAAAUAAACUAAAGAAACCCGAUAAAUAAAGCAAGGACACUAUAUAUGAAUGAACCCAAAUAGACAACUGCAAAAGCGAUAGCAUUUUACUUGUAAGAACUAUCCCAUUCCAAACUUAAAGAAUUGAAGCAAAUAGCAGCAGCAAACUGAAAGUAGUGUAUAUACAUUUACAGUUUAGUAAUACUACUACGCUCGGGCUAAACACUCUAAAAUAUGCCAUUUUCAAUAAGUCAAGCACAUUUGAAGUUUAGAUCAAGAUUUUGGUUCUAUAUCUGCUUGCAUCAUUAUCAUUAUCCGCUAUUGGUGGAAAACUCAUCAUCAGGUUUAACGUGUUGAGACUUAGGCUUCUCCUAAAGCCUUUUCUUUCCUUUUCCUUCUCAGAACUCUUCCUCCCAAGAAAACACGAAUAAACAAUAAACAUGUUUUUAAGCAAGUUUUAAAAAAAAAAUAAACCAUCAUUAGAGCCAAGACUCAUAGCAUGCAAAUAAAUUGAUUCUACAUUUCAGCAUAAAUCAGAGCAAAUUAAUGCAAAACCAACCAAAUCAUUUACAUGCUUUAUGGACUCUAGACGAGAUUGCCCAUUUUCCAUAAGUAGCCACCCUCCAGUUAAUGCACUUUUAACGUAAUACAAAUAGCGAAUAUUUGAACCCUUGUAAGAUGGCGGAAUGAUGUUAGGCAGUACAGUUCGCACCACAUCUGCAAUUAACAUUCAACAUGAUCAACCUCCUUGAUAAAAUAAAUAAGAUUAACAACUAAAGCAUGACAUGCUCGUACGCAAUAUCAUGCUUGAUCACCAAGCAAGUAUACUGGCAACUUACAAGGGAUACAAUCAAACAAAUUUCACAAUUGGAGUGUACAAAAAAUUUCAAUCUAGUUUUAAUUUUUGUCUUGCUGUCCUUGAAAAUUUAUUUCUCAUGGUUUACCCUCUUUUAUCUCGCACCUGUCCUUAACUUGGUCGACGGUUCUCGUAUUAAUCUUUGGAAAUUUGUUUGGGUGGGUUCUACCACUCCUUUUGAGUCUUUUCCUAGGCUUUUUCACCUAUCUUUGCAUAACGCCCCAGUCUACCAGUUUUACUCUCAGGACCGUUCCUCUUUCGAACCUUCACUUUUCAGGAAUUUGCAUGAUAGAGUCUUUUAGUCUUAAUUGACACAAUUCAUCCAUCUUAUGCUCCUGACUAUAGAAAAUGGACCCUUGAUCCUUCAGGAGUUUUCUCUUGUAACUCCUACAAAUACGUCUUCAUUCUACUUAACUAUACAAACUCGGUAAAAGCUUCUGUCUGGACUGCUGCUCUUAAUAUGAAUGAAUAACAAGAAAUUAUUUGGCUUACAUGAUUUGCUGGUGCCAGCAUUAACGAUCUGGUUUGCAAUCAGGAUUGGCGUCGAGAACUCUAAAAAUACAUGUUCACCUGAAAUAAAGAUGCAAAUAUAGUUAUUUUUUUAUCGGACGACGAAAACAUUAAUAUUAAAAUGAUAACAAUAGUAGCACAUGAAAAUAUAUAUUUUUCAUCUUAUGUUAGAAAUAAAAGAGAAAAUGUUCAUUUUAGUCUCUAAUAAAAAUAUCAUCCCCUAAGUUAAAAUCAAAAGUGCAAACGUGGUCUCCAAAAAACGCAAAUACCAGCCAAACUAGUCCCUGAACCUAAAAAUGACUAAUUUAACCACAUUCGAGGUUCAUAGCUGAUAGCAAACAUAAUAAAACUUUUUUACAGAUUUCUUUUCUCAGAACUUUUCACAAUAACAACAAUAAAUAUUUACACUAAAAUUAAAAUUAAAAAAACAACCUAAAUGAGUAAACCACAUUAAGGGCAUGUUUGUUAGAUUUUAAAAGAAGUGACUCUAAGCUACUCUAAAAAAAGUGAUUUUUUUAGAAUCUAGAAUCUCUAACUUCUAGCACCAACAAGUCCUAGCAUAAUUGUUAAAUAGUUUGGUUCUAGAACAACAAUGUCAGGGAUUCCAUUCAUAUCUGAAAUAUAACCUCUAGCAAGAGCUGAAAUGUAGCUUUUUUAGUUUCAACUUUUUAAGUAAAUAAAAGCCCACCCAAAAACUGUAAAAUUGAAAAGUGAUUAUUUUAACAAAAAGCCAAAGUGCAAGUAUCAAGCACUGCUAUAAGAAACCAACGAACCUCUCUUCUGCUUAGAACCAGGUACAGUUUUCUGUGUAGCAAACCAAUGAGUAUCCAAUUUCUCAAUCCCUUUGAUCUUAAAACUGAGUCUUUCUACCAAAAAUGAAUACCCAUUUGAAGGAAUUGAGAUUUGAAUGGUCACAACAAGUGGAUCACAAGGUCUAUAAACUUCUCUAUCAGUUUCAAGUUUCAGUGUUGGAACCACUUUUUCUGCAACACCCUUUGAUGAUAAUGAAUUGUUUUUGUUAUUGUUACAUACCAAAUUGGAUGAAGAAGAAGAAGAAGAAGAAUCUCCAAUUCCAAAAAGCGAAAAUCUUCUCUGUAACAUUGUGGAAUAGGGUUGAAUUGGAGGAAUAUGAAGAACUGUGUUUGUUACCAGUUUGAUCUAAAUCUGAGUUAUCACAAAUUUGUUACUAUUUAAUUAAUUAAUUAUAUUUCCUUUUCUUAUUUUAUUCAUUCAUUUCUUUAAUAUUUAAACCUUCCUAAUAUAACGUUUUUUAAAUAGUGAAUUUAUCAUCCUUAUAUAUGUUCAUUUAUUGUAUUUUACUUGGAGAGAUAUAGAUAUAUAUAUUAAAAGAAUAAGAGUUUUAUAAACUAUUAGUCUAUUAUUCAUCUUAUUCUUUUAAAAUAAAAUAAUAUAAAUGAAUGAUGAAUAAUGUAUUAAUUAUAUAUAAAUAUUUACAUUAAUAUCACAUGAAUAUUAAUAUCUUAGGUUUAAUUUAAAAGUUAAUGAUACAGGAUAGAUUGAAUGUAUAUGAAGAAAAUCUUAUAGGACUAUUAAAUAUUAUUAGAUUCCUUAUUUACCUAUUGUGCCCACAUUUUUAUUUGUUAUAUACUAAUUAUAUAUCUUGUUAAUCAGAUGAUUAAGAAACCGAAAAAAGUAGUUGGGAUAGAAAUAUGUAAACAUAUAUUUUAUUUUAUUAAAUAUAUUAUUACGUGUUCUUUAGUGUGGUAUUGGUGGGUGAGCUAAGCAAGAGACCUUCCUAAAGUCGUAUGAGCUGAGCUUGAACUUGUCGGUGGAGGUACCUAAAAAGGUGUUGCUUUGUCGCUCAAGUUAGUGUAUAAUGAGUUAAGAGUUUAGGGAGAAUAAAAUGCAAUAAUGAGAGUGCAAGAUAAAGAAUAUAGAUAUUUAGGGUCAACCCGUUGUUUAUAAUGGAAGGAUGCAUGGAAUAUUCCUUGGCAAAUGAUGUUGACAUGGCCGACCAUGUGGGCUUGUCAGCCUGCCAGACGAAAAUAAGGGGUUGCUUUUACUGUGAUGGAUGGCUCUGGGGACGUCGUACUUUAUAGAUAGUUUACUUAUAGCCUGUAGUAGGUUCAAUAUUCGUAUUUUAGGUUUGUCCUUGUCGUACAACAUGAAGUUAGGUGAGAGUUAUAGGUAGCAUGUGGUGUAUGACAUAUAUUUGUGUUGCAAGCAACGUGGCAGUCCUAUGUUGACAGUAUGACAGGUGGGUGGCAUAGGUAUGGUCCCAGCACUAGCCCUAAGCGUGUGUCUGAUCAAUGUACUUCUCAGAUGUCCAGCCUUUAGUCGUCGUUAAGAGGCUUAGCCCGACAAAGACGAGGAUGGUUUGAUUGCAAUGGAAGCUGCUUAAUGCAUGUUUCUUUUCAUAGGAUUUCUAACCACUACAAUUAACACAACUCGAUCUUAUAACUUUUUUUUUGGGGUACACGGUUAGAUUUUGUAACAUUGAUAUGUAGUAAAGUAAUCAAAAGCCUUUAACACUAAUACAAAUAAAUUUGUAAGUUUUUAACCCCAAAUAGGGAUAAGAUAGACUUAGUAAAAUCUAUCAAGAUAGUUAUAUCGGAAGAUGUAAUCUACUUAAUACUUAAUGAGUAAUUUGGUUUCACAUUAAUUCAUAUAGGAUCCAAGUAAAAUUUAGAAACAACAUUGCACUAAACAAAAUGCAUUUUAUAACAUUGAUUUGAAGUAAAGUAAUCAAAAGUGUUUUAACAAUUUCCACACUAUACCUCCACAUGAUAACUUCUCAUAAAGAAUUAUUACUUAACAAUACCACACUUAUGUUUCUAAUUCUUUAAGCAAAGGGUCUUCUCCCUUUUCCUCUUAAGAAGCUAAACUCCUCCCACUUGAGUUAAUAGCCAAGAACAUCCAUAAGUACGUGAAACUAAUUCUCCUAGUGGAUAUUUUUUUUAUCUAUAAUAUUCGAACUUAAAACUUUGCUUAAGAGGAAUUAAGCAUGUACCACUUAAACCAAUAAUGUUUUUUUCUGGACGAGAUAAGUUAUUAAAUCUCUAAAAGAUACUGAAAUUGUGGGUCUAAGUAGUAAUUGGUUUGAUAUUACCUUAAUAACCCCGAGGUUCGAAUGCUACUAUCAACCAAACAACAACCACCGACAUAUAAAACCUCUAGAUCAUUCCUUGAAAUUCCAUUUCAAUAUUUUUAUAUAUAUGGAUGAAAAGGAAACUUUUAAUUUAUUAAAUAUUACGGUAAAGAUGACUAUAACUGUACAUUUCCGAAUAUAUUUAUUGUCUCAUAAUAUUGUAUUCUUGUUUGUGAUUGAUUAAAAAAUAUAUUUAAAUUAAAAAUUUAGUGUCAUUAUUUUUCCCACCAAUAAAAAACUAUGACAUAUAAAGUGAUAUAUUAAUUAGGAUAAGAAAUUCAUCAAUAAUUAUACACAUUCUUGAUAUAUAGUCAACAAUUCAAAUAUUAGUUCAAUCAAUAUUCAAAAUUGAUUAAGACAAAUCAUAAUUUUAGAGUAAUGAUAUUUUUUAUCUCAUAGUAGUUAAAUGCAUUUUAUUGUAAGGACCUAAGUAAUUAUAUAGUUUCAGCUUUCUAAAAGUGUUUAUUUCUUCAAUUGCUUUUGAGUGUUUCUUCGAUUACCUUUUGUCACAUAAUAUAUGUCAUUUUAUAUAUAUAAUUUAUAGGAAAGAUCCACUUAUUUUAAGAGUAAGUUUUUAAAUUUACUCUUUAUUCUAACCAUCAAUUCUAAGAAAACCCUAUUUUCAGAGUCACUUUUAUAAUUAAUUUUAUAACUUUUCACCAUAUACAAGAUAAACAAAUGAUUUAUGCAAAAUAUAUAGGGAGAGAGGAUCAUUUAUUCCAAGAGCAAAUAGAAAAAGACUACUUCAUAUCUUAUUUAGGAAAAUAGUUUGAAUUAAUGAGUUAAUCUUAACCAUCGGAUUUUCAUAAAAUGAAUGGUUAAAUGUUGAAUAAUUUUUUCACUUACUCUUAUAGUAAAUCGAUUCAUUCUCAAAUAUUUAUUUAUAUAUAAUUUUAUAUAUUAAUUAAUAAUUAAUUUAUACUCACUAAAGAGCUAGAGUAUAUUAUCCAUCACUACUUCAUUCUUAUUAGUUACAAAGUUAAUAUAUAUUAAAUUUAUAUUUAUUAAUUUUAAUAUGUUAAAAAUAUAUAUGUAUAAAUAAUGUAAGAAAUUUUAUAUUAUUAUUGUGUCAUCCAUUUUUAAUUAUUGUUGAUUUUUAAGUAAAAAAUAAUAUUGAUAUAUCAAAUAUUGAAUGUAUAUACCAACUAACAAUGAUUCAAGUGGUACAUAUUUAAUUCUCUUAAGCAAUGUCUUAGGCUCGAAUCUUGUGGAUGAAAAAAAUGAUCGCUGAGAGAGUUAGCCCUACAUAGCUGUGGAUGUUCCCGACUCAGAAAGGAUUGUCUAGGAUACCAGUGAGAAACAAAAAAAAAUAUUAAAUGCAUAUAAAAGAUAUUGCUCCCUAAAGAGCUGGUUGUCGGUGUAAGAAAAGUAGUAAAGCGUGCUUGAUAGCCGUUACUUACAAUCACGAAACUAACAACACCUUUCUUAAACUUAAAUUCUCCAUUUUACCCUUCUAUCCACUAUAUAAACCAACGCGCAUUUAACUUCUUCCCUCAUUUUCUCAUCAUUUUCACUUUUUCUCAGAUCUCUCUUCUUCGUCAAUAAAGGUAUGACCUAAUUCCCAUUCCAUAUUCUACGAAUUUGCAUGACACUGUACGUUGAUCUUCGAUCUCUAUCUGUUUGUGGAUUCAUUCAAUGUUGUAUUAUGUUAAGAAUCGAUCAAUUUGUUGUUGUUGUUGUUGUUGUUGUUGCUGUGUUGGAAUAUUUAGCUGGAUUUUUGUAAAUGUGUAAUUCAUGAGCGUGAUUUGUGAUCUUACUCUCAUUUUUUGUGAUAAUUGUGAUUUCGCAACUGAAAUGUUGUUUAUUCUUAUUGUUAGUUAAUUUUGUGUACAUUCCAUUCAAAACAAUUGUAUCAAAUUGUAAUUGAUUAGGUGAUUUGUGAAUUGUGAUCUUACUUUCAGUUUUGUGAUCAUCAUAGUUUUUUGAUGUUUGCAGCUGAUAUAAUGUUUCUACUUGUUUAUAGUUAAUGUGUUGUGCAUUUCAUGCAAUUUUUUUACCACUUUUAGUAUCUUUGGCAUUAUUUUGGCAUCCUUUUCUUUAGAUCUGUUUUGGUUAGCGGAGUUUCCCUGAAUAGAAAUUGAGUGACAGCUUUACUUGAAAAUUUUGAAAGAGGCAAUUUUCUGUUUGGGUGUUUUGAUCUGUCGAAAAGUGAAUGACUGUCAUGAAUCAGCUGAAUUUUGGGUGAGUUGCAUAAGCAUCUGAAGAUUUAAAUAGUAGUUUGCUGCAUACCUGUAAUAUUUUGGAUCAAGUAUGAGUUUCUGUGAUUUUCCGCGUUUUCAAAUGGGUUCCCCUUAUCAAAUGUGUGCCAUGGUGUUAAGUGAAAUUUUCUGGAAUAACUGUGUAUCAUGUUUUACAUACUUUUUCUGCACUAUUAAUUGACUCAUCAUUAUUUUUUCUUGUCACCCCAGAUAAACACAGUUUAGUAGCUGCUCAUGGGAACUGUUGUUGAGGCUGCAAACAAGGUAAUUCACAGUUAUUUUAUACAUGGACCUGUUUCUAGCAUUUUUAUAUUCUGAUAAGACUUUUUCUUCGAAAUUCUGAUUAAAGUGAAUGCUUUUUUUUUGUGGUUCUCAUUCUGCUAUAUACAUAAUUCGAAGGUUUGAACUUCGAAAAUAUAUUUUUCCUUGAUUGGGAAAUAUUUCAUUGAAUAUAUUGGUGCAAUGUCCAGUAAAAUACAGUUAUUUUCACAAAAAAUAAUUAUGUUUAGCUUUUUCUCUUGUGUUGUUGAUAUCAUAUAACUUCUGAUGCAGUAUCAAUUUCAAUCAAUCUUUCUUUGUUUUAUCUUUGUCCUUCAUUUGACUGUAGGGUGUAAAUGGAAGCAUCACAGAGAAAAAUCCUACUGUCGUUUUUGUGUUAGGUGAGCCCUGAUUGACUGUAUUCAAGUGGAGGAUCUCUGUAGUCAUCUACCCUCCUAAUUAGCUUUUGACAAAAUCCUGAUGCAUUUGCAUUCAUUUUACAUUGUUCAAUAUGACUGUAGCUCACUGUAAAUUCCAUGUUAUAUCUUUGCUAUAUUGUACAAAUUAAUAAUAGUUUGUUAUAUAUACUAAGAGGGUAGUUUUUUUACUAGUUAAUCUGAUGAUCCUAAUGGAAUACUGAAUAUAUUUAUGCUUUAGUAAAGCUAUGUAAUCUGAUCAACUUAAUAUGCUAUAAUAGGAGACUUUCAUGGUUUUUUCAAUACGUUAUUUUAAUUUUACGGUUGAGUGUUAAACAAUGACAGCUUGUGCCUCUUCUUUUAGAUAUUCACUUGUUACUUCAGUAAUUUGGCACCAGGACUAUCAAUUUUUGUUGUGUUUUUGGUUAUUCUGCCGUUCUUCAGUUCAUGACAAACCUUUUAUAACCAAAACAUGAACUUUCAGCUAUUCGUUUUUGAGGUUUGCUGCAGAAUACUGUUUACCUUGUAGACAAGAAAUCUGACUGAUGAAUUUGGAAGUACAUGACUAAUUUUACGUUGUAGAUACUAUAAUUUUGAGCAUUAUACUCUCAUGUUUAAAAAUAUGUGAGCUUUGCUUUGAUAAAUUAUAAACCACAACCUUGUAUUUCGACACCGAUCGUCAUGCAAUUAACAUGGAUGAAACUUGCAUUAGUUUUUAUAAAUUACCAGUUAUCACUAGUUUAAAGACUUUGCUUUAUUUGCUUACCAUAUAACACAUUACUUUCUUUCACUGUUCCUUUUCAUUUGAAGAGGAAGUUUUUUUUGUUUUUAUGCCUCUAUUGCUCAUUGGAAUUUAUGGUAGAUAUUUUCUGACAUUUAAAGUUGAUUAUUUAUCGGAUAAUGAUACAGGUGGCCCAGGCAGCGGAAAGGGUACCCAAUGUGCAAACAUUGUGGAACAUUUUGGGUACACUCACCUCAGCGCUGGUGAUCUUCUGCGAGCAGAAAUCAAAUCUGGUUCUGAAAAUGGGUACAUAUUUUAUGCUUCAUCUAAAUAUAUUAGUGCUUGUUUCACAAUUUUAUAAUUUUGUAAGAGAUGACACUAAAAGUAAGAGAGUUAUGUAUAAGGAGCACAAGAAAUCCUUUUUUUACAAAAAAAAUGUAAUUAAAGUAAAGAAAAAGUUCAUUAUGUAAGAACUGCCUAAUUUGUUGCCCCCAAUCAGUUAGUAGAGCUAGCUUUUGGAGUGGUGUUACAACCACUAAUUCUGUUACACAUAUGUUUGUUCUGUUACCAUCUUAUAUUGGGUUUGAAUUAUCUUUAGGCAUUUAUAUAUGUUUAUGUUGUCAUGUAUGACAGAACAAUGAUUCAGAAUAUGAUUAAAGAAGGAAAAAUUGUUCCCUCAGAGGUAACAAUCAAGCUUCUGCAGCGAGCAAUGCAGGAAAGUGGCAAUGACAAAUUUCUUAUUGAUGGUUUUCCCCGCAACGAGGAAAACCGUGCAGCAUUUGAGAAUGUGGUAAUUGCUAUUUUCAUGAGAUAGAACUUUUUCAUUUAUAAUUGUUUCCUGUAUAGAUAAUUGUACUAGCUUUUAAUUUCCAAAAUGCAUUCUGGCUUUGUAGACAGGAAUAGAGCCAGCAUUUGUCCUCUUUUUUGAUUGCCCUGAGGAAGAGAUGGAGAGGCGACUUCUUAGUAGGAACCAGGUUGAGUUUUUUUCCUUGUAAGAUUUUUUUAUUUCAUAGUUUUUUAGCAUCUUAAUAAUUUUAUUGAUAAUAAAGGGCAGAGAAGAUGACAAUAUUGAAACAAUAAGGAAGCGGUUUAACGUCUUCUUGGAGUCUAGUCUCCCAGUUAUUAAUUAUUAUGAUGGAAAGGCAAAAGUUCGCAAGGUGAUUGAUAUUUCUUAUGCAUUUACUAUAUUUUUGGUAUUCAUAGUUGCCUCUUCUAGUAUGCUCAUGACAUAAAUUUUUCUUAGAUUGAUGCUGCAAGGCCUGUUCAAGACAUAUUUGAGACAGUCAAAGCAAUUUUUGCUCCAAAAAAUGAAAAGGUAAAUCAAUAUGUUCCGUUUAUGUCAAAACUUCAUAUGUACAAGUUCCAUUUUGUAUCAAAGAGAAAAUUAGGAAAUCAAAGUCUUUGUCAAUUAAGAGUGUAUCAUAAGAUGUUUCAGAAUGCUCUAUACUAUAAUUCAGCUAGAGUAGCCCUAGCCUGAUAGGGGUUCAACCUAUGAAGCACCAAUAUUGAUAUGUCGAUAUAAAUUUUCUUCAAAAUGUAGGAUGCGAUAUGUUUGGGAUACACAUAUAAAAUAUGUACAUAAAAUCCGUAAAACAUAAUAAACAUAUAACUAUUGUAUAAAUUUCCAAAUAAGGAACAUCCUUCUUAGAUAUCACUAAAUACAAAAUGAAAUUCAUAUUGUCAUAAGAAAUCAUUGCUUAGUGCUGAUAAAUAGGAAUAAUAUUAAUCUCGUUUAAUCAAAGAUCAACAUUAUGCAUAUGCAUUUCCAAUUCAUUCUCUAUACAAUAUAAAUGUCCCAGGAAUUGAUGUUCAUUUGUGGUAUUUGCAGGCUGAUUGAACUCACCCUUGACUUCAUUCUGGAAAUGCAGAGGUAAAACUGCUACGAUGAUCAAUAAAGGAUCCUAUAUAUUUUGUGUUUUCAUAUGAUGCAUUUUACUGUAAAGUUUGAAAAUGUUAUUUAAGCUGUGAAUGUCCCUUCCAAUUGGUAAGGCAUGAAUUCUCUUUAGGGUAUACCCUUUGGAUCUAUGUUUGAUCAAUCUGUGUGGACAAGGUCACACGCUCAAGCAUCUUAUGUAAUACUGAUUUAUUGUUUCCUUAUUGUUUUUUCAGGUAUGGCUGCUUCUUCUGUUUGCCUCCCAUUUUGCUUUUAAAUAUAGAAAAAUAUAGUUUAUAUCUGAGUUGUGGGAUAGAAAAUGUUCUAUUCUUAUAAAUAAUGUCCUAUGGGAUUUAUUUAUGUGGUUAUGUUUCCCUUUUCCAGAAACAUUUAUAUUAUUGAUUUUAUAAAUAUAUGAGUCUUAUUCAUUAAUGUAUGGUCAAUGGUGUAUAUAUUCUAGGAUUAUUCGUCCUCAACCAUAUAUUAAUGGAAUGUUUAUUAUUUAAAAAUAAAAUAUAAUUUAUACUAUUCAUGCAUAAUAAUGUUGAAGCAAAGUAGUAGGGAGGGGUAGUUGAAGUAGAUAAGCAAAUUUCCUAUUCAAAUAAAGUCUCUUGAUGCCUAGAAAUUAUAUCAUUUUUAUGCAAAAUUCAUAAAGUGUAAAUUAUAUUCAUGUAAUAAUGCAAGUAAAUAGAAAAGUAUUUAAAUUUUGGUAGAAAUGUGAGAAUCAUACUUAGGCUUAUAAACAAAAUGGCUUAUCUGCCCACAGGACAAUCAUAACUCAUAAUUAUGCACCUUAUCUUUUGUGUUGGUAGAUAACUACACUGACAAUAUAUGAAUUUUAUUCAUUAUUAUUGUAUCAUUCACUAUUAAUACUUAAUUAUUGUUCACUUCUCAAAAAAAAAUAAUACUCCAAAUGAAAAUUAGAGGUAUAUAUUGUCUCUCCAACACAUAUUUUUCUCUACUUUUUUAUUCUCGACCAACAAAUCCACACAAAUCCCCUUUUUUCUUCUUCUUCUUCUUCCUUCUCCGUCGAGUCCACCAUCCCCUUUCCUCCUCACGGUUUCUCCGGCGAGUAGAGCAUCCGUCCUCCGUCGUGCCUCCGUCGAGUCUAGUUUCCACUUCUUCGACCGGCGCAUCUUCCGGUUCCAGUGGCAUCUUCUUCACCUUAGGUAACAACAUUACAAAUUAAACUCUUACUCAAUUAGGGCGAAAAACCUAGUUUACUCAUUCAGGUAACAAUAUUAUUUCUUUCUAGUUAUGUUCUAGUUGAAGUUACUUUACUAAUUUUUCACCUUCACUCACAAGCCUCAAAAUAUGUCUUGUUCAUUCACAGUAAUUUGAAAUUGGAAUGUAAGUGACACUCAAUUAAAAAGAUAAAUCAUAAAAAUAUAAACUAACAUUUUUAUAGUACUCGUCCGAAUUUGAUUGGCCAGAGACACGGAGACAUGUGAUCUUUGUUCGUCUAGUAUUUAUGUCCAUGUAUGUUGGAUUGCUUCAUUCGCCUGCAAUACGUUGUUCUCAGGCAGCUUAUAAUCUGCAACUUAACAUUUGUUCAUUGCUAAAGAAAAUCAACGAAACGAGUUAAAAAUUUGUAAAUAUAUUUGUUCUCAAGCACUGGAUUAUACUCUGCAAUAUAUUUCUUCAUUUUUUCUCAGGCACCUUAUAAUCUGCAAUAUAUUUGUUCAUUUGUUAUUCAUCCAGAGUUAUUUUUUGUUAUGCUUUAUACCAUUCACUCGACCAAUGUUCAUGAUUUUGGAGAAUGCUAACAGAAUAGUAAAAAAAUGGAGAAUGCUAAGAGGGGGGAAAGUUAAUUUCUAAAGAAAGUGGUGUAUUUAAGUAUAUGAAAUUGGAGAACUUGGUAAAAAAAUUCCAUUCUUUAACCAAGCUAUUACCAUCAAGUACUAGUUACCAUUCUUUAACUAGGUAUAGUUUUGUAAUAUCUCUUGUUAAAUUUCCAAAUUUAUAAUAUGUUUUGUGAACUUGUGUCACGUGUUUAUGUUUUUAGUUAGAUAAGUGAGACAGAUACUUGUGGAUUGAUAUUUGUGUUUGUAAUUUAGACUUUGGAUUUGUUAAAUUUGUUUGUCUAUGAGAACUCUUAGUAGGACUAUGAACAUGGAUUAUAAAUUUGAGUAUCUACAUAUUUGAAAAUUAUUGUUAUACUUUUACACAUAUAUAUAUAUAUAAGCAUGUCUGUCCAGUUUAAUCGGCAUGCGGUUUAAUUACUGAACCACCGGUUGAACCACUAUACCAUUGUAUUAGUAUAUUGACCAGUUUGAUGAUCGGUCCGGUUUUAAUAACAUUGGUGUAUGCAUUGAUUUAAAUAACAUCCCAUUAAAACAUUUUUUAAUAUCUAGUUAUGAUUAUUAUAUAAUGUGUUUUUGUGGGUUUGUGGAACAGAAAAGAAAAGGGCAAAUGAAUCUAUUAAUCCCAAACCUUCAACAACAACAACUCUCCUUCUCAAAAACCUUAUCACAAUGCCACUUCUUCUGCAACAACAACAAGAUUUCUCAAACAACCCUCGUAGCCAAACCCACCAUAAUUCGAAUGGGUGGUGGUCCAAGAACGUUUCCGGGUGGUGUAUCGAAGUGGCAGUGGAAACGGAUGCAGGCAAAAAAAGCGAAGCAGCUCCUCAAAGCUCGGCUUUCUCGUGAGAGACAGAUUUAUGAAAUGCGUAAAAGGGCGGAACUCAAAGCUGCUGUUUCUGAACUUGAGAGGCCUUGGGAGGUGGUUGAAAAAUCUCCUAACUUGUUCUCUAUUGGUGCUGAUGAACAGGUAUACUAUAAUAUUAGCUAUUUUCUUACUUAACCCAAUUUAAAUUCAUUUAAUUGGUUUAGAGGGUGAGUCUGGCUCAAAGUUAAGGUUGUUGCUUAGUGAGUGACCAUGCGGUCACGGGUUUAAAUCUUGUAAGCAAUAAUGCUGCAUACAACUACCCUCCCUAUACAUCAUUGUGUGUGAGCCUCGUUCAUUAGGCCACUUUUUUUAAUUGGUUUUAUGCAUAGUUACAUAAUUCUAUCGUUUAAUGUGUGAGCAGGUGAAGGUUCUUGCUGACAGGUUUCAAAAGCCAGGUGGGUUUGAUAUGUGGAGUGAUAAAGAUGGGCCUCAAUUAUUUCAAACUCCUGAUGAGUUGCCAUCUGCUAGGUUUUUUCCUAAAGGGGUUGUUCAUAGUAUCAGGCCUUACAGAAAAGUUGAGUUGGACGAUGAUGACGAUGAUGAUGAUGGGGAGAAUGGGGGGAGUCUUGGUGGGGAAUUCAGUAGGAUUAUCAAUGAAAGGAACUUUUUUACAAAAGGUGUUGAUGAUGGGUCCGACGAUGGAGAAUUUUCGUCACCUUUGAGUUAUGGGAGGAAUGAAGUGAGCGGUGAUGGCAGAAGGAGCAAGAGUGGGUACGGGAGGAAUGAAGUGAAUGUUGAUGGCAGGAGAAGCAAGAAUGGUAAUGGAAGGCGGUU
rnacentral:lncRNA from 1 species